UACGAAGGGGGCUAGCGUUGCUCGGAAUCACUGGGCGUAAAGCGCACGUAGGCGGCUUUUUAAGUCAGGGGUGAAAUCCUGGAGCUCAACUCCAGAACUGCCUUUGAUACUGAGAAGCUUGAGUCCGGGAGAGGUGAGUGGAACUGCGAGUGUAGAGGUGAAAUUCGUAGAUAUUCGCAAGAACACCAGUGGCGAAGGCGGCUCACUGGACCGGUACUGACGCUGAGGUGCGAAAGCGUGGGGAGCAAACAGG
rnacentral:rRNA from 1 species